UUACUUGGUUUGCUUAGAGUUGUCUUUGCUUCUUCUCUUAUUGUCGUCUUUUGUAAACCAAUGACAUAGACAUGUCUGUGGACUCGGAUAGAUGCCUUUUAUGCUCUGAACUCUCUAGUGUAAUUGUAAAACAUUUGAGGCUCUUGUUGUUAUGUGUAUAGUUUGGAGUGGCAGAGUAAAAUUUUCCCAUUAAUCAUAUCAUCCUGAAGUUCUCAUAAUUGUGGAGAUUUUAAGUUUCCACAUUUGAGUCUCUUUUUUGUUAUGUGUAUAAUUUGGAAUGGCAGGUUAAAAUUCUUCCCAUUAAUCAUACCAUCCUGAAGUUCUCAUAAAUUCUGGAGAUUUUAAGUUUCCACAUUUGAGGCUCUUGUUGUUAUGUGUAUAAUUUGGAAUGGCAGAUUAAAAUUCUUCCCAUUAAUCAUACCAUCCUGAAGUUCUCAUAAAUUCUGGAGAUUUUAAGUUUCCUGUUCAACUUGUUGGUUUUGUUUAUAAAUA
rnacentral:lncRNA from 1 species